rnacentral:rRNA from 1 species
UACGGGGGGCAAGCGUUGUUCGGAAUUACUGGGCGUAAAGGGCUCGUAGGUGGCCAACUAAGUCAGACGUGAAAUCCCUCGGCUUAACCGGGGAACUGCAUCUGAUACUGGAUGGCUUGAGAUUGGGAGAGGGAUGCGGAAUUCCAGGUGUAGCGGUGAAAUGCGUAGAUAUCUGGAGGAACACCGGUGGCGAAGGCGGCAUCCUGGACCAACACUGACGCUGAGGAGCGAAAGCCAGGGAGCAAGCGGG